GUCUCCUUCGUCUAGCGGUUAGGACACCGGGUUUUCAUCCCGGCAACAGGGGUUCGACUCCCCUAGGAGAUA
rnacentral:tRNA from 1 species